UCCUGUGUGUGCGGCUGCGUUGCAUGUGUAGCAGCAUGUGUGUGGAUGUGUCGUGCGCCGUUGCCGGCGUGUGUCAUUCACCGGCAACCAGUGCCUGAGUAUGAGUCAUGAGGCGGGUAACAGCGUGUGAACUUAGGAGCGGGAAGUUACCCCAGCGGUUGAGAACUGACGAGCUGUGGGUGGGUUGUGCGAACUACGUCCCGGUGUGUGGCUAGAGGUUUGGCGUCUGUGGUUUAAUUGUAGCCGUGUGACGGUGGUGUCUCUCUGGCUCUGGCGUCACCUUCGCCUGCACUGCGCAGGGCGAAGGCUCGUGGGCUCGUGUUGUAGGCGUUGGGCAGCUGGUCAUGCGGGCGCUGAGCUGAGGAGGAGCUGCGUUGGGGGUCUGUUUGCCGUGGUGCUUUAUAAGUGUGUGCUCAGGGGAGCUUGGGGUCCAGGUUUCGUAGACGGGCGGUUGGCUUGCCCUGCUGGGAGGCGAGCGUAGGGUGUCGGGCAGGGGGCCGCCCAUGCUGGAGGCGGUGGCUCCCUAGUCCCGCAACACCGGCCCUGGCCCGGUGUUGCGGUGUUGCUCUCUCUCACACGACCUAUCGUGCGUAGCUUUGUGAAAGCAUCGGAGUGAUCAACCGACUGCUGCCUCAGACUCAACACCUGGGGCCGGGCUGCGGAGCGCGUUCACGCAACCAAACUCAACCACGGGGCAUCAGUUACCAGCCGCUCGCACGCAGCCGCUGUAGCUAGCUCAAUUAAGGCCCGCUCGGCUUAGUCCACCGAGCGCCCAGCCAGCUGGGAAAGACCGCCCUCGCCCCCGGAGUCGCCAUCGACAGCUGACGAGCAGUCGACCGUCCGCCCUCUGGCCCUAGCGAGUGGCCGUCGCCAAAGCGCCUUCAGCAACACCGCAACCUCGCGAUUCGCUUCACAGCGGUCGUGGGGGAGCGGACUGGCGAUUUCGCAUCCUCGACACUCGCUAAGUGAUUCACAGCUGAGUUACUUGCGAGCUUGGGUGCACUUCUGGUGAACUGGGAGCCCAUUUGUGUGUCAGCAACAGCGGCCAAUCUUGCUUGCUUGUUCUGCACAACGACUGGGACCUGACUGGCCAGUCGGUUGGGCUGCCCUGCCGGAAGGCCGAACGCGCUUCGUGCUUGCACACCGCGCUCCGCACUUACCCGCACCGAGGCUGACUCCGGGCCCACGCCCCUGUCGCCUCCGGCACCCUCCCGCUGCAGUGCUCGCCGACCCGGCGCAGCCCGCCAGCCAGCUCUGAGCUAACCAGCCGAGCGCCACCAUCACGGGGUCAGGCAUGACCUCGCCACCCCAGUCGGACCAGGGCCGAAGCCUACGCCGCAGCCUUCGCGUGCAGGAGCGCGCCACCGCCCCUGCGGCGGCGGGCCCGUCUGCCGCUGAGCGCGUCCAGGCUCACGGCCCCGCGCGGUGGGUGGCCGCCGGGGCACCAGAAGCCGCCGCAGCGCGCGCCGCCGCUGCUGCCGCUCCCGCCCCCGCCGCCAUCCUUGCGCCCCCUGCCGCUGCCGGAGCCGCCUACGGCGUCGCUGCUGCUGCUGCGCCCGUCGCCGCCGCCGCACCCGCCUUCGCCGCCCCCGCGCAGCCGCCCGCCGCCGCUGGAGCCGCCUACGGCGUCGCUGCUGCUGCCGCACCCGCCGCCGCCGCCGCACUCGCCUUCGCCGCCCCCGCGCAGCCGCCCGCCGCCGCUGGAGCCGCCUACGGCGCCGCUGCUGCUGCCGCACCCGUCGCCGCCGCCGCACCCGCCGCCGCCGCCCCCGCGCAGCCGCUCGCCGCCGCUGGAGCCGCCCACGGCGCCGCUGCUGCUGCCGCACCCGUCGCCGCCGCCGCACCCGCCUUCGCCGCCCCCGCGCAGCCGCCCGCCGCCGCCAGGGCCGCCCACGGCGGCGCUGCUGUUACUGCGCCCGGCGCCGCCGCCGCACCCGCCUUCGCCGCCCCCGCGCAGCCGCUCGCUGCCGCCGGGGCCGCCCACGGCGGCGCUGCUGUUACUGCGCCCGUCGCCGCCGCCGCACCCGCCUUCGCCGCCCCCGCGCAGCCGCCCGCCGCUGCCGGAGCCGCCUACGGCGCCGCUGCUGCUGCUGCGCCCGUCGCCGCCGCCGCACCCGCCUUCGCCGCCCCCGCGCAGCCGCUCGCCGCCGCUGGAGCCGCCUACGGCGCCGCUGCUGCUGCCGCACCCACCGCCGCUGCCGGAGCCGCCUUCGCCGCCCCCGCGCGGCCGCCCGCCGCUGCCGGAGUCGCCUGCGGCGCCGUUGCUGCUGCCGCCGCCGGCCCCUCGGCCUCCGUCGCCGGCCUGCCUCCCCGCCACCCUGGCCGCGCGCAGUCCGCCAGCAACUUCGACCAAGCGUUACGCAGGGCUUUCGGCGCGCCGGCUGCCCCCCGCAGCGUGCGUGCCACGCCCGCGGCGGGGGUCGGGCUGCAAGGGGCCUUCCUGGCCCUGGGCGUUCCGGAUGUCCUCCGCCGCCGUGGGUGCACUUGGGCCUCCGAUGCCACGGGGUCCAGCGCCAGCUCCUACCGGCCCUCUGACAGCGCGUCGGAGACCUCCUCGACCGCGGACACCGCCUCCGGCCGCCGGCAGGCCGCUGCGCGCGAGCUCACCGAGCUGUCCCCGGCCGGCGCCAACAACGGGCGGCGCGUGUGCAACAACCCCGCCUACGAGGAAGAAGAGGAGCUGCAGGCUGCCCUCGCCCGGUCCCGUCGUGACACCGGCCACCCCAGGCCGCCGCCGCCAGCAGGCCGCGCGGCAGCGUUGCUGACUGAGACGGCCGUCACCGUGCACGAGAUGCUGGGCGGUGGCCCCACCGGUGGUCUGGCAUUGGGAGGGCUGGCGCCGGCGGCCUCCCCGCCGCGCCUGGACCGCGCGCGGCGGCGGCACCUGCUCAACCUCGCCGCCAGCAGCCGGCCGUCGGCCUCAGCGGCCUCGAGCUCCUCCGGCCGCUCCGGCAGCUCCCACUGCACCACCUCCGCCUCCGCUCGCCCCGGCAGCGAGUCCAUGCACUCCGCGCGCAGCCAGCAGCCGUCUGCGUCGCAGCACAUCCACCUGCACGUGCACCCCGGGCCUUCACCGGCCGUUGCAGCUGCCCCGCCAGCCGCCGGGGCCGACUUCUUCCCCCACCUGGGCAGCUUGCGAGCCCGGUGCGUGGCGAGGUUGGCGGCGCGCCUCCGUCGUCACGAGGCCGCCGUGGCCGCCGCAGCGGCCAUCACACCUGCCGCCGCUGCGCCUGCCGCGGCCGCGCCCCCCGCCGCUGCACCUGCCGCCGCUGCGCCUGCCGCCGCCGCGCCCGCUGCCGCCACGCCCGCCGACGACAAGGUUCAGCUGGCCAGGGUCCGCGCUGCCGCCCUCGCGCACCUUCAGCGCCUCCACGCCGCGCUCGGGCCCCCCGCGCCGGCUGCAGCCGCAACACCAGCCGCCGCCGUGCCCGCCGCUGCUGCCGCCGCUGACGCCCCUGCCCCGCCGGCAGCCGCCGCCGGGCCUGGGCCCGACGCUGCCGCGCCCCAGCCACCGGUCUCUGUCGUCAACAUGGCGUCUUCGUCCAGCUCAAGCUCGGCGCCGGCGAGCGCCGGCGGCUGCCCUCUGUGGCCGAUGCCCCUGCCGGCGUGGCAGCCGCACCUGCUGGCGCAGCUGGACCACGCCGCCGCCGCGGCUGCGCCCCCGGCGGCCGCAGCUGGGGCCCCACCGGUGGCUCUAGCUGGCGGCCGUGGCGGAGUGGCACGCAUGGGCAUGGCUGCUGCCCAUCUUGCGGCGGCGACACCCGUCAACGGGGCCCCGCUCAGCAGUGCAGGCGCCGCCUGGCCUUCGGCGGCAGCAAUGCUGCGGCCGGCGCGCCCCAUUCCCUCGUGGAGUCAGACCGGGCGGCAACAGUACGACGGCGAGCGCGCCGGGCGGGCCAGGUUCAUGGUGGACGCGCACGGCUACACUGAGGAGCAGGCGGCGUGCGCCGACAUCAACAGCCCCUAUGCGCAGGACCCGCGCCUAAUCGCCCGCGCCCUCAUCCACGGCGCGUCUGUCCCCGAGUCGCGGGCCCGGGUGUGGAACAACGGGGAGCUCGAUGGUGGCCAGCGCACGCUUGCGCGGCAUCGCGGCCGCUGGGCUGGCAGGCACGGCGGCUGGAGAGGCUGGCGCCGCGGCCGCAGCGCCCCAGUACGGGGCCGCCGGCCGCCGCGAGCGGCGCGGUGUGCCGGCCGCGGCGGCUGAGAGCGAGGAGCUGGGCCGCCUGCUGUUCCCCCGAGCCCGCACCCGGCGGCUUGACGAGACCGCCUCCGAUCUGGGGGGGCGGCGCGUGCGCAGGGCUGAGGAGGGACCGGACGGAGUGCUGGAGUACCUGGGCGCGCUGGCGCGGCCGCGGUACUUCCGCGUGCAGUGGAGUGACGGCGAGGAGCAGCAGCUGACGCUGGCGGAGGCGCGUCGGUUGCUCGCAGACUAGGUUGGCGGGGAGUGAGGAGGGUCGGGCAGGGGGCUAUUCAGAGGUUCACGAGGGAGAGGGCUAGGGGGGCGAGCGCUGGGGGGGGCAGUGGGCUUUGUGCAGCGGCUCGCAGCCUGUCUCCACCACGGCUUGGUCAGGCCUUGAGCGUCAGCCUGCCGCACCUACGCCAGAGGCGAUUCAGCGGACUGGGCUAUGGGAGGCAGUGAGCGGAGCCAGGAGCCGCCAUGGCCAUGCAUUGCCCCCAGCGGAAGGGCCGGGACAGCCGGCGCCUUGAGGAGUGUCAGCAUUUAGUAGGAGUAGCGAACGUACGGCUGUGGGGGCAGGUGGGAUUAGGCAGAGCAUGUUAGUUCAGGAGUAGGUAGGGUGCAGGCCCAAACCGCGGGACCAUAUGCGUGCGAAGUUAUGUGUGAGGCCCAACUACGGGACCUAAUGCGUGCCGUCGGUUGGCUGCGUGCGUGUGCUCGUGCCCUUGCUGUGCGUGCUGCCACCGGUCACUCGUACAACCAUGCCGUCGUUAGAACCCCGGACAUGUUUGUGGGGGGGACUUCAGCCCCCGGUGGCAGCCCUAGAGCAAAACAUGGCUGGGGCGUGACAGCUGUCGUGCGCCGUUGCCGGCGUGUGUCAUUCACCGGCAACCAGUGCCUGGGUAUGAGUCAUGAGGCGGUUAACAGUGUGUGAACUUGGGAGCGGGAAGUUACCCCAGCGGUUGAGAACUGGCGAGCUGUGGGUGGGUUGUGCGAACUACGUCUCGAUGUGUGGCUAGGGGUUUGGCGUCUGUGGUUUAGUUGUAGCCGUGUGACGGUGGUGUUUCUCUGGCUCUGGCGUCACCUUCGCCUGCACUGCGCAGGGCGAAGGCUCAUGGGCUCGUGUUGGGAGGCGUUGGGCAGCUGGUCAUGCGGGCGCUGAGCUGAGGAGGAGCUGCGUUGGGGGUCUGUUUGCCGUGGUGCUUUAUAAGAGUGUGCUCAGGGGAGCUUGGGGUCCAGGUUUCGUAGACGGGCGGUUGGCUUGCCCUGCUGGGAGGCGAGCGUAGGGUGUCGGGCAGGGGGCCGCCCAUGCUGGAGGCGGUGGCUCCCUAGUCCCGCAACACCGGCCCUGGCCCGGUGUUGCGGUGUUGCUCUCUCUCACACGACCUAUCGUGCGUAGCUUUGUGAAAGCAUCGGAGUGAUCAACCGACUGCUGCCUCAGACUCAACACCUGGGGCCGGGCUGCGGAGCGCGUUCACGCAACCAAACUCAACCACGGGGCAUCAGUUACCAGCCGCUCGCACGCAGCCGCUGUAGCUAGCUCAAUUAAGGCCCGCUCGGCUUAGUCCACCGAGCGCCCAGCCAGCUGGGAAAGACCGCCCUCGCCCCCGGAGUCGCCAUCGACAGCUGACGAGCAGUCGACCGUCCGCCCUCUGGCCCUAGCGAGUGGCCGUCGCCAAAGCGCCUUCGGCGGCAGCAAUGCUGCGGCCGGCGCGCCCCAUUCCCUCGUGGAGUCAGACCGGGCGGCAACAGUACGACGGCGAGCGCGCCGGGCGGGCCAGGUUCAUGGUGGACGCGCACGGCUACACUGAGGAGCAGGCGGCGUGCGCCGACAUCAACAGCCCCUAUGCGCAGGACCCGCGCCUAAUCGCCCGCGCCCUCAUCCACGGCGCGUCUGUCCCCGAGUCGCGGGCCCGGGUGUGGAACAACGGGGAGCUCGAUGGUGGCCAGCGCACGCUUGCGCGGCAUCGCGGCCGCUGGGCUGGCAGGCACGGCGGCUGGAGAGGCUGGCGCCGCGGCCGCAGCGCCCCAGUACGGGGCCGCCGGCCGCCGCGAGCGGCGCGGUGUGCCGGCCGCGGCGGCUGAGAGCGAGGAGCUGGGCCGCCUGCUGUUCCCCCGAGCCCGCACCCGGCGGCUUGACGAGACCGCCUCCGAUCUGGGGGGGCGGCGCGUGCGCAGGGCUGAGGAGGGACCGGACGGAGUGCUGGAGUACCUGGGCGCGCUGGCGCGGCCGCGGUACUUCCGCGUGCAGUGGAGUGACGGCGAGGAGCAGCAGCUGACGCUGGCGGAGGCGCGUCGGUUGCUCGCAGACUAGGUUGGCGGGGAGUGAGGAGGGUCGGGCAGGGGGCUAUUCAGAGGUUCACGAGGGAGAGGGCUAGGGGGGCGAGCGCUGGGGGGGGCAGUGGGCUUUGUGCAGCGGCUCGCAGCCUGUCUCCACCACGGCUUGGUCAGGCCUUGAGCGUCAGCCUGCCGCACCUACGCCAGAGGCGAUUCAGCGGACUGGGCUAUGGGAGGCAGUGAGCGGAGCCAGGAGCCGCCAUGGCCAUGCAUUGCCCCCAGCGGAAGGGCCGGGACAGCCGGCGCCUUGAGGAGUGUCAGCAUUUAGUAGGAGUAGCGAACGUACGGCUGUGGGGGCAGGUGGGAUUAGGCAGAGCAUGUUAGUUCAGGAGUAGGUAGGGUGCAGGCCCAAACCGCGGGACCAUAUGCGUGCGAAGUUAUGUGUGAGGCCCAACUACGGGACCUAAUGCGUGCCGUCGGUUGGCUGCGUGCGUGUGCUCGUGCCCUUGCUGUGCGUGCUGCCACCGGUCACUCGUACAACCAUGCCGUCGUUAGAACCCCGGACAUGUUUGUGGGGGGGACUUCAGCCCCCGGUGGCAGCCCUAGAGCAAAACAUGGCUGGGGCGUGACAGCUGUCGUGCGCCGUUGCCGGCGUGUGUCAUUCACCGGCAACCAGUGCCUGGGUAUGAGUCAUGAGGCGGUUAACAGUGUGUGAACUUGGGAGCGGGAAGUUACCCCAGCGGUUGAGAACUGGCGAGCUGUGGGUGGGUUGUGCGAACUACGUCUCGAUGUGUGGCUAGGGGUUUGGCGUCUGUGGUUUAGUUGUAGCCGUGUGACGGUGGUGUUUCUCUGGCUCUGGCGUCACCUUCGCCUGCACUGCGCAGGGCGAAGGCUCAUGGGCUCGUGUUGGGAGGCGUUGGGCAGCUGGUCAUGCGGGCGCUGAGCUGAGGAGGAGCUGCGUUGGGGGUCUGUUUGCCGUGGUGCUUUAUAAGAGUGUGCUCAGGGGAGCUUGGGGUCCAGGUUUCGUAGACGGGCGGUUGGCUUGCCCUGCUGGGAGGCGAGCGUAGGGUGUCGGGCAGGGGGCCGCCCAUGCUGGAGGCGGUGGCUCCCUAGUCCCGCAACACCGGCCCUGGCCCGGUGUUGCGGUGUUGCUCUCUCUCACACGACCUAUCGUGCGUAGCUUUGUGAAAGCAUCGGAGUGAUCAACCGACUGCUGCCUCAGACUCAACACCUGGGGCCGGGCUGCGGAGCGCGUUCACGCAACCAAACUCAACCACGGGGCAUCAGUUACCAGCCGCUCGCACGCAGCCGCUGUAGCUAGCUCAAUUAAGGCCCGCUCGGCUUAGUCCACCGAGCGCCCAGCCAGCUGGGAAAGACCGCCCUCGCCCCCGGAGUCGCCAUCGACAGCUGACGAGCAGUCGACCGUCCGCCCUCUGGCCCUAGCGAGUGGCCGUCGCCAAAGCGCCUUCAGCAACACCGC
rnacentral:lncRNA from 1 species